GAUGAACGCUGGCGGCGUGCCUAAUACAUGCAAGUCGAGCGAACGGACGAGAAGCUUGCUUCUCUGAUGUUAGCGGCGGACGGGUGAGUAACACGUGGAUAACCUACCUAUAAGACUGGGAUAACUUCGGGAAACCGGAGCUAAUACCGGAUAAUAUUUUGAACCGCAUGGUUCAAAAGUGAAAGACGGUCUUGCUGUCACUUAUAGAUGGAUCCGCGCUGCAUUAGCUAGUUGGUAAGGUAACGGCUUACCAAGGCAACGAUGCAUAGCCGACCUGAGAGGGUGAUCGGCCACACUGGAACUGAGACACGGUCCAGACUCCUACGGGAGGCAGCAGUAGGGAAUCUUCCGCAAUGGGUGAAAGCCUGACGGAGCAACGCCGCGUGAGUGAUGAAGGUCUUCGGAUCGUAAAACUCUGUUAUUAGGGAAGAACAUAUGUGUAAGUAACUGUGCACAUCUUGACGGUACCUAAUCAGAAAGCCACGGCUAACUACGUG
rnacentral:rRNA from 1 species